GAUGAACGCUGGCGGCGUGCCUAAUACAUGCAAGUCGAGCGAACAGACGAGGAGCUUGCUCCUCUGACGUUAGCGGCGCACGGGUGAGUAACACGUGGAUAACCCACCUAUCAGACUGGGAUAACUUCGGGAAACAGGAGCUCAUACCGCAUAAUAUAUUGAACCGCAUAGUUCAAUAGUGAAAGGCGGGUUUGCUGUCACUUAUAGAUGGAUCCGCGCCGUAUUAGCUAGUUGGUAAGGUAAAGGCUCACCAAGGCGACGAUGCGUAGCCGACCUGAGAGGGUGAUCGGCCACACUGGAACUGAGACACGGCCCAGACUCCUACGGGAGGCAGCAGUAGGGAAUCUUCCGCAAUGGGCGAAAGCCUGACGGAGCAACGCCGCGUGAGUGAAGAAGGUCUUCGGAUCGUAAAACUCUGUUGUUAGGGAAGAACAAAUAUGUAAGUAACUAAGCAGUUCUUGACGGUACCUAAUCAGAAAGCCACGGCUAACUACGUG
rnacentral:rRNA from 1 species